UGUGUCAUCACAAUGCUCCAAUGUGACAUCACAGUGCUCAGUGUGCCAACACUGUUCCCCAGUGUGUCAUCACAAUGCUCAGUGUGCC
rnacentral:miRNA from 1 species